GGGGAAUAUUGGACAAUGGGGGCAACCCUGAUCCAGCCAUGCCGCGUGAGUGAUGAAGGCCUUCGGGUUGUAAAGCUCUUUUGGCGGGGACAAUAAUGACGAUACCCGCAGAAUAAACCCCGGCUAACUUCGUGCCAGCAGCCGCGGUAAGACGAGGGGGGCAAGCGUUGUUCGGAAUUACUGGACGUAAAGCGAGUGUAGGUGGUUGUCAUAGUCAGGUGUGAAAACCUUGAGCUCAACUCAAGAAAUGCACUUGAUACUGGACGACUAGAGGACCGGAGAGGAUAGUGGAAUUCCCAGUGUAGUGGUGAAAUACGUAGAGAUUGGGAAGAACACCAGUGGCGAAGGCGGCUAUCUGGACGGUUUCUGACACUAAGACUCGAAAGCGUGGGGAGCAAAC
rnacentral:rRNA from 1 species